rnacentral:rRNA from 1 species
AUUGAACGCUGGCGGCAGGCCUAACACAUGCAAGUCGAGCGGCAGCGGGAAAGCAGCUUGCUACUUUUGCCGGCGAGCGGCGGACGGGUGAGUAAUGCCUGGGAAAUUGCCCAGUCGGGGGGGAUAACAGUUGGAAACGACUGCUAAUACCGCAUACGCCCUACGGGGGAAAGCAGGGGACCUUCGGGCCUUGCGCGAUUGGAUAUGCCCAGGUGGGAUUAGCUAGUUGGUGAGGUAAUGGCUCACCAAGGCGACGAUCCCUAGCUGGUCUGAGAGGAUGAUCAGCCACACUGGAACUGAGACACGGUCCAGACUCCUACGGGAGGCAGCAGUGGGGAAUAUUGCACAAUGGGGGAAACCCUGAUGCAGCCAUGCCGCGUGUGUGAAGAAGGCCUUCGGGUUGUAAAGUACUUUCAGCGGGGAGGAAGGCGGUGAAGUUAAUAGCUUCACCGAUUGACGUUACCCGCAGAAGAAGCACCGGCUAACUACGUGCCAGCCGCCGCCGUAA